rnacentral:rRNA from 1 species
CCUACGGGAGGCAGCAGUGAGGAAUAUUGGUCAAUGGACGAGAGUCUGAACCAGCCAAGUAGCGUGAAGGAUGACUGCCCUAUGGGUUGUAAACUUCUUUUAUAUGGGAAUAAAAUGUUCCACGUGUGGGAUUUUGCAUGUACCAUAUGAAUAAGGAUCGGCUAACUCCGUGCCAGCAGCCGCGGUAAUACGGAGGAUCCGAGCGUUAUCCGGAUUUAUUGGGUUUAAAGGGAGCGUAGGUGGGUUGUUAAGUCAGUUGUGAAAGUUUGCGGCUCAACCGUAAAAUUGCAGUUGAUACUGGCAGUCUUGAGUACAGUAGAGGUGGGCGGAAUUCGUGGUGUAGCGGUGAAAUGCUUAGAUAUCACGCAGAACUCCGAUUGCGAAGGCAGCAUGCCGGCGCUCAACUGACGCUCAUGCACGAAAGUGUGGGUAUCGAACAGGAUUAGAUACCCCUGUAGUC